UACGGAAGGCAGCAGUGGGGAAUAUUGCACAAUGGGCGCAAGCCUGAUGCAGCCAUGCCGCGUGUAUGAAGGAAGGCCUUCGGGUUGUAAAGUACUUUCAGUCGUGAGGAAGGUGUUAAGGUUAAUAACCUUAGCAAUUGACGUUAGCGACAGAAGAAGCACCGGCUAACUCCGUGCCAGCAGCCGCGGUAAUACGGAGGGUGCGAGCGUUAAUCGGAAUUACUGGGCGUAAAGGGCACGCAGGCGGUUAAUUAAGUUGGAUGUGAAAUCCCCGGGCUUAACCUGGGAAUGGCAUUCAAGACUGGUUAGCUAGAGUCUUGUAGAGGGGGUAGAAUUCCAUGUGUAGCGGUGAAAUGCGUAGAGAUGUGGAGGAAUACCGGUGGGCGAAGGGCGGCCCCUGGGACAAAAGGCUGACGCUCAUGUGCGAAAGCGUGGGGAGCAAACAGGGAUUAGAUACC
rnacentral:rRNA from 1 species